GAGACCCAACAUGGUCAGACGUCUUAUCAGACUCAUUGUUCUGCUACUUUGGAUGACAGGUCACGGCGAGGGGACUGGUGUAAUACAGACUCCCGAAAUUCACUUCACUUCUGCAAAGAGUAAUGCUGAGAUGAACUGCAGCCACAACAAAGACAUCACCUACAAUCAGAUGUACUGGUACCGUCAGCGCCCAGGGGAGAACAUGGAGCUCAUAGUGUUCACAUCAGCUGUUGCAAACCCCGACUUUGGGAAGUUCAGCGAAAGUAAAUAUGCAGCUGCUAAAAAGAAGGCUGAAAGUGGAUCCUUUACAGUGAAGAAUCUGGAAUCAAGUGACAGUGGAGUGUAUUUUUGUGCAGUAAGUCAACACAGUGACGCAGACUGACUGUAUAGAUGUACAAAAACUUUAUCAGGAAGAGUGCAGAAAGAGCUCUU